AGUGAACGCUGGCGGUAGGCCUAACACAUGCAAGUCGAACGGCAGCACAGUAAGAGCUUGCUCUUACGGGUGGCGAGUGGCGGACGGGUGAGGAAUACAUCGGAGUCUACUUUUUCGUGGGGGAUAACGUAGGGAAACUUACGCUAAUACCGCAUACGACCUACGGGUGAAAGCAGUGGAUCUUCGGACCUUGCGCGAUUGAAUGAGCCGAUGUCGGAUUAGCUAGUUGGCGGGGUAAAGGCCCACCAAGGCGACGAUCCGUAGCUGGUCUGAGAGGAUGAUCAGCCACACUGGAACUGAGACACGGUCCAGACUCCUACGGGAGGCAGCAGUGGGGAAUAUUGGACAAUGGGCGCAAGCCUGAUCCAGCCAUACCGCGUGGGUGAAGAAGGCCUUCGGGUUGUAAAGCCCUUUUGUUGGGAAAGAAAAGCAGCAGGUUAAUACCCCGCUGUUCUGACGGUACCCAAAGAAUAAGCACCGGCUAACUUCGUG
rnacentral:rRNA from 1 species